rnacentral:rRNA from 1 species
AGGCCAGACUCCUACGGGAGGCAGCAGUAGGGAAUUUUGCGCAAUGGGCGAAAGCCUGACGCAGCAACGCCGCGUGAUCGAGACGCCCUUCGGGGUGUAAAGAUCUGUCAGUGGGGACGAAACUUGACGGUACCCACAGAGGAAGCACCGGCUAACUCCGUGCCAGCAGCCGCGGUAAUACGUAGGGGGCAAGCGUUAUCCGGAUUUACUGGGUGUAAAGGGGGCGCAGACGGCAAUGCAAGCCAGGAGUGAAAGCCCGGGGCCCAACCCCGGGACUGCUCUUGGAACUGCAUGGCUGGAGUACAGGAGGGGCAGGCGGAAUUCCUAGUGUAGCGGUGAAAUGCGUAGAUAUUAGGAGGAACACCGGUGGCGAAGGCGGCCUGCUGGACUGUGACUGACGUUGAGGCCCGAAGGCGUGGGGAGCAAACAGGAUUAGAUACCCCUGUA